GGAUUAGAUACCCUGGUAGCCCACGCUGUAAACGAUGAUCACUAGAUGUUGGUUUUACGUUGUAGAAUCAGUAUCGCAGCUAACGCAUUAAGUGAUCCGCCUGGGGAGUACGGUCGCAAGAUUGAAACUCAAAGAAAUUGACGGGGGUCCGCACAAGCGGUGGAACAUGUGGUUUAAUUCGACACUACGCGAGGAACCUUACCUAGGCUUGACAUGCAAUUGACAGUUAUGGAAACAUAAUCUUUCAAGCUUGCUUGAACAGUUGCACAGGUGCUGCAUGGCUGUCGUCAGCUCGUGCCG
rnacentral:rRNA from 1 species